rnacentral:rRNA from 1 species
AGCAUAUCAAUAAGCGGAGGAAAAGAAACCAACAGGGAUUGCCUCAGUAACGGCGAGUGAAGCGGCAACAGCUCAAAUUUGAAAUCUGGUUCCUCUCUGGGGCCCGAGUUGUAAUUUGUAGAGGAUGCUUCGGGUUUGGCACCGGCCUAAGUCUCUUGGAACAGGCGUCAUAGAGGGUGAGAAUCCCGUAUGAGGCUGGAGGUCUAUACCCAUGUGAAGCUCCUUCGACGAGUCGAGUUGUUUGGGAAUGCAGCUCAAAAUGGGUGGUAAGUUUCAUCUAAAGCUAAAUACCGGCGGGAGACCGAUAGCGCACAAGUAGAGUGAUCGAAAGAUGAAAAGCACUUUGGAAAGAGAGUUAAAAAGUACGUGAAAUUGUUGAAAGGGAAGCGCUUGCGACCAGACUUGCCCUCAGUUGAUCAGCCGGUGUUCUUCACCGGUGCACUUGGCUGAGGUCAGGCCAGCAUCGGUUUAGGCGGUUGGAUAAAGGUUGUGGGAAUGUAGCUCCCUCCGGGGAGUGUUAUAGCCCACUGACGGCAUGCGACCAGCCUGGACCGAGGACCGCGCCCCUGUGGCUAGGAUGCUGGCGUAAUGGUCGUAAGCGACCCGUCU